CAUAUCGCAUGAAGCUCGGGCUUUUAUACUGACCAAAAUGCACACUCAUUCUGACACAGAGGGCCAGCCUACGUCGGAAGAAGUGGCCAGAAAUAUCUAGAAAGGUCUCCAAGGGUCAAUAGAAACGUGGACAUAUUUGUAUUUGCCAACUUCUGGUACAAGAGUAUCACAGAGAGACUGUAUCAAAUGAGUUGUAUAUGGAGCUCCAAGUCCAUGGUCCAUCACCGUUCACCUGAUAUCUUUGAUAAGAGCAUACGAGAGACCUUCCCACCGCAGGUCUUGAUCUGGCACAUACACUACCAUGAAAGCACGCAAUACAUCUGCAUCCCCACCCAUCUUGCUUCUCCCUUUACAGCUGGCCAAUUAUCAUGAGGAUCUGGGGGAUAUAAAUCAGGCUCCUUUUCCGGAUCCAUAGGCCCCGGGUCAAAAGGACUAUCCAGGUCAGCAUCAGAAUUAUCAGGCGUCAGAACCGCAGGAGCAGCAACAGCAGUCUGAUGAAUCCAUUUCAGCGUUAUCAAGUGCAAUUAAAACAUUUUCUCCCACAGGUUUCGGGUGAUUUGAGAGUACUGUAAUUGAGUCAAUUUGUGAAAGAUUAUCAUCCCCUACCUGCGGCUGAAGAGAGUGCAACGCAGCAAAAACAAUGUGCCAAGUA